rnacentral:rRNA from 1 species
AUUCCUACGGGAGGCAGCAGCUAAGAAUAUUCCGCAAUGGACGAAAGUCUGACGGAGCGACGCCGCGUGGAUGAAGAAGGCCGAAAGGUUGUAAAAUCCUUUUGUCGAUGAAGAAUAAGCAUGGGAGGGAAUGCCCGUGUGAUGACGUUAGUCGGCGAAUAAGCCCCGGCUAAUUACGUGCCAGCAGCCGCGGUAACACGUAAGGGGCGAGCGUUGUUCGGAAUUAUUGGGCGUAAAGGGCGCGUAGGCGGUCCUGUAAGCCCGGCGUGAAAACCUGGAGCUCAACUCCGGGCCUGCGCUGGGAACUGCGGGACUAGAGUCAUGGAAGGGAAGUUGGAAUUCCAGGUGUAGGGGUGAAAUCUGUAGAUAUCUGGAAGAACACCGGUGGCGAAGGCGAACUUCUGGCCAAUGACUGACGCUGAGGCGCGAAAGUGCGGGGAGCAAACAGGAUUAGAUACCCUGGUAGUCCGCACCAUAAACGAUGUACACUAGGCGUUGGGUCGAGUGACUCAGUGCCGAAGCUAACGUGAUAAGUGUACCGCCUGGGGAGUAUGCCCGCAAGGGUGAAACUCAAAUGAAUUGACGGAAU